AACGUAGGAGACAAACGUUAUCCGGAGUUACUGGGCGUAAAGGGCGUGUAGGUGGUUUCGUAAGUCUGGCGUGAAAUAUCUCGGCUUAACCGAGGCAGGUCGUCGGAUACUGCGGAACUGGAGGACGGUAGAGGCGUGUGGAGUUCCGGGUGUAGUGGUGAAAUGCGUAGAGAUCCGGAGGAACACCAGUGGCGAAGGCGACACGCUGGGCCGUACCUGACACUGAUGCGCGACAGCAUGGGGAGCAAACAGG
rnacentral:rRNA from 1 species